GACAGAGGAUGCAAGCGUUAUCCGGAAUGAUUGGGCGUAAAGCGUCUGUAGGUGGCUUUUUAAGUCCGCCGUCAAAUCCCAGGGCUCAACCCUGGACAGGCGGUGGAAACUACCAAGCUGGAGUACGAUAGGGGCAGAGGGAAUUUCCGGUGGAGCGGUGAAAUGCGUAGAUCUUGGAAAGACCACCAAUGGCGAAGGCACUCUACUGGGCCAUGACUGAUACUAAGAGACGAAAGCUAGGGGAGCAAAUGGG
rnacentral:rRNA from 1 species